CCUACGGGGGACAGCAGUGAGGAAUAUUGGUCAAUGGACGAGAGCCUGAACCAGCCAAGUAGCGUGAAGGAUGACUGCCCUAUGGGUUGUAAACUUCUUUUAUAUGGGAAUAAAAUGUUCCACGUGUGGGAUUUUGUAUGUACCAUAUGAAUAAGGAUCGGCUAACGCCGUGCCAGCAGCCGCGGUAAUACGGAGGGUCCGAGCGUUAUCCGGAUUUAUUGGGUUUAAAGGGAGCGUAGGUGGAUUGUUAAGUCAGUUGUGAAAGUUUGCGGCUCAACCGUAAAAUUGCAGUUGAAACUGGCAGUCUUGAGUACAGUAGAGGUGGGCGGAAUUCGUGGUGUAGCGGUGAAAUGCUUAGAUAUCACGAAGAACUCCGAUUGCGAAGGCAGCUCACUGGACUGCAACUGACACUGAGGCUCGAAAGUGUGGGUAUCAAACAGGAUUAGAUACCCGAGUAGUC
rnacentral:rRNA from 1 species